rnacentral:rRNA from 1 species
GAUGAACGCUGGCGGCGUGCCUAAUACAUGCAAGUCGAGCGAACGGACGAGAAGCUUGCUUUUCUGAUGUUAGCGGCGGACGGGUGAGUAACACGUGGAUAACCUACCUAUAAGACUGGGAUAACUUCGGGAAACCGGAGCUAAUACCGGAUAAUAUUUUGAACCGCAUGGUUCAAAAGUGAAAGACGGUCUUGCUGUCACUUAUAGAUGGAUCCGCGCUGCAUUAGCUAGUUGGUAAGGUAACGGCUUACCAAGGCAACGAUGCAUAGCCGACCUGAGAGGGUGAUCGGCCACACUGGAACUGAGACACGGUCCAGACUCCUACGGGAGGCAGCAGUAGGGAAUCUUCCGCAAUGGGCGAAAGCCUGACGGAGCAACGCCGCGUGAGUGAUGAAGGUCUUCGGAUCGUAAAACUCUGUUAUUAGGGAAGAACAUAUGUGUAAGUAACUGUGCACAUCUUGACGGUACCUAAUCAGAAAGCCACGGCUAACUACGUGCCAGCAGCCGCGGUAAUACGUAGGUGGCAAGCGUUAUCCGGAAUUAUUGGGCGUAAAGCGCGCGUAGGCGGUUUUUUAAGUCUGAUGUGAAAGCCCACGGCUCAACCGUGGAGGGUCAUUGGAAACUGGAAAACUUGAGUGCAGAAGAGGAAAGUGGAAUUCCAUGUGUAGCGGUGAAAUGCGCAGAGAUAUGGAGGAACACCAGUGGCGAAGGCGACUUUCUGGUCUGUAACUGACGCUGAUGUGCGAAAGCGUGGGGAUCAAACAGGAUUAGAUACCCCGGUAGUCCACGCCGUAAACGAUGAGUGCUAAGUGUUAGGGGGUUUCCGCCCCUUAGUGCUGCAGCUAACGCAUUAAGCACUCCGCCUGGGGAGUACGACCGCAAGGUUGAAACUCAAAGGAAUUGACGGGGACCCGCACAAGCGGUGGAGCAUGUGGUUUAAUUCGAAGCAACGCGAAGAACCUUACCAAAUCUUGACAUCCUUUGACAACUCUAGAGAUAGAGCCUUCCCCUUCGGGGGACAAAGUGACAGGUGGUGCAUGGUUGUCGUCAGCUCGUGUCGUGAGAUGUUGGGUUAAGUCCCGCAACGAGCGCAACCCUUAAGCUUAGUUGCCAUCAUUAAGUUGGGCACUCUAAGUUGACUGCCGGUGACAAACCGGAGGAAGGUGGGGAUGACGUCAAAUCAUCAUGCCCCUUAUGAUUUGGGCUACACACGUGCUACAAUGGACAAUACAAAGGGCAGCGAAACCGCGAGGUCAAGCAAAUCCCAUAAAGUUGUUCUCAGUUCGGAUUGUAGUCUGCAACUCGACUACAUGAAGCUGGAAUCGCUAGUAAUCGUAGAUCAGCAUGCUACGGUGAAUACGUUCCCGGGUCU